rnacentral:snRNA from 1 species
UCUACGAGUCGGGUUGUUU